AGGGCAAACCGGGGAGCUACGGCUCUCCGGGGUUGAGGACUGCAUUUAGUCUCAAUGGUUUAUCCGAACUACCUGGAAAGGUAGGCAACACAGUGUAAAAGCCACGUAGGUUAAAGGCCAGAGAGAUGAGCAGUAUCCAGAGUACCACGAGGCACGAGGAAUCUUGUGGGAAGCCGGGGGGACCACCCUCCAACCCUAAACACUGAAUGGCGACCGAUAGCGCAUAGUACCGUGAGGGAAAGGUGAAAAGAACCCCGGGAGGGGAGUGAAAGAGAACCUGAAACCGUAUGUCUACAAGCAGUCGGAGCGAAAGCGACGGCGUGCCUAUUGAAGAAUGAACCAACGAGUUACGUGCACUAGCGAGGUUAAGUGGAAGACACGGAGCCGAAGCGAAAGCGAGUCUUAAGAGGGCGGAUAGUUAGUGUACGUAGACCCGAAACCGCAGUGAUCUACCCAUGUCCAGGUUGAAGCGCAGGUAAAAUUGCGUGGAGGACCGAACCUGUGAGCGUUGAAAAGCUUUAGGAUGAGAUGUGGGUAGAGGUGAAAUUCCAAUCGAACGCGGAGAUAGCUGGUUCUCCCCGAAAUAGCUUUAGGGCUAGCCUCAAGUAGUAAGUAUAGGCGGUAGAGCACUGAUCGGGCUAGGGGCCAUAAAGGUUACCGAACCCUGUCAAACUCCGAAUGGUUAUACUGUAGAGCUUGGGAGUCAGACUACGAGUGAUAAGAUCCGUGGUCAAAAGGGAAACAGCCCAGACCACCAGCUAAGGUCCCCAAUGUCGUACUAAGUGGAAAAGGAUGUGGGGUCUCUAAAACAACCAGGAUGUUGGCUUAGAAGCAGCCACCAUUUAAAGAGUGCGUAAUAGCUCACUGGUCGAGAGACCCUGCGCCGAAGAUUACCGGGGCUAAAGUACGAAACCGAAGCUGUGGCUACGACGUAAGUCGUGGGGUAGGGGAGCGUUCUGUGAGGGCUGAAGUUGUUCUGUAAGGAACGGUGGACUUCACAGAAGUGAGAAUGUUGGUAUGAGUAGCGAAAAGAAUGGUGAGAAUCCAUUCCACCGAAAGCAUAAGGAUUCCUGGGCAACGAUCGUCGUCCCAGGGUAAGUCGGGACCUAAUCCGAGGCAUGGAGCGUAGGAGAUGGACAACUGGCAGAUAUUCCAGUACCGGUAAUGAUUGUUUGAGCGAUGGAGUGACACAGGAGGGCAGGCAGGCAGGAGACUGGUUGUUCCUGUACAAGCGUGUAGGGUGGAACGUAGGCAAAUCCGCGUUCUGUGAGCCUGAGGCGUGAUGUGGAGGUUCCGGAAACGGAACUGAAGCUGCUGACCCCACACUGUCGAGAAAAGCUUCUAGUUAGAGAAUUACCGCCCGUACCGUAAACCGACACAGGUAUGCGGGGAGAGAAUCCUAAGGUGCGCGGGAGAACCCUCGUUAAGGAACUCGGCAAAAUGUACCCGUAACUUCGGGAUAAGGGUAGCCGCUGUUGUGAAGUCUGCACAGAUGGAGCAUGAGGCGGUCGCAGAGAAGAGGCCCAAGCGACUGUUUACCACAAACACAGGUGCCUGCUAAAGAGAAAUCUGACGUAUAGGUGCUGACACCUGCCCAGUGCCGGAAGGUUAAGGAAGGAUGUCCGGAGCAAUCCAAAGCAUUCGACCGAAGCCCCGGUAAACGGCGGCCGUAACUAUAACGGUCCUAAGGUAGCGAAAUUCCUUGUCGGGUAAGUUCCGACCCGCACGAAAGGUGUAACGAUUUGGGCACUGUCUCAACGAGGGACCCGGUGAAAUUGAAGUACCUGUGAAGAUGCAGGUUACCCGCGACUGGACAGAAAGACCCCAUGGAGCUUUACUGUAACCUGACAUUGGGUUCUGAUACAUCACGUACAGGAUAGGUGGGAGGCAUGGAAGCGAGGACGCUAGUCUUCGUGGAGCCGCCGUUGGGAUACCACCCUUGAUGUAUCGGAAUUCUAACCGUAGGAGUAACGAAACUCGGGACAGUGUCAGGCGGGCAGUUUGACUGGGGCGGUCGCCUCCCAAAGAGUAACGGAGGCGCCCAAAGGUUCCCUCAGCGCGGCCGGAAAUCGCGCGAAGAGUGUAAAGGCAGAAGGGAGCUUGACUGAGAGCCAAACACGGCGAUCAGGUACGAAAGUAGGGCUUAGUGAUCCGGUGGCAUCCAAGUGGAAGGGCCAUCGCUCAACGGAUAAAAGCUACCCUGG
rnacentral:rRNA from 1 species